UAACAUCUACACUAAUUUCCGUUCGUCCGUCUAUGGCGUUUCAUAUAUGUUAGCAUUAAGCUAGCGGCUCAAAUAAAAUGGUUGAGGUGAAUAUGUUAUUGUUUUAAUAUAGAAUGUUGAAUUCUCUUUUCUUUUAUGUGUCAAACUUCAACUGGGAGUCAAAAAUAACCUGAAGCAAGCACGCUCCACCUCUUAUUUGGAGAACUGUGAGAGCAAGAGAAUGAGAACAGUGCAGAUUUUCACCGAUUGCAGGUAGUUCUGGGAUACAUCCGCUCCAAUCAUGUUGAGGAAAAUUGAGGGGCUCUUGGUGCAAAUGGCCCUCAACAUACACGCAGUGAUCCGACAUCCGCUGUCUGAGCAGAGGGGUUCAGGAGUGUGAGCAGCGGGCACACGGGGAUGGCUGGAUUCAAGAGAGGAAAAGCAACGUGGACAGACAAGGCAAGUGCCUGACCCGCUUCGAGCACUUCUGCUAAUUCCACAUACAAACACGGCCCACCCACUCGAAAACAGAUGUUAAAGAACUAAGACAAUCGUCUAGGAUUUCUUGUUCAUCGAUGUAGGAGGGGAAUCAAUGCAACACUGGCCGACAAAGACCUCGAAUGCCACUCAUCACAGUGCACUUGCUUUGGGUUGUGCGCAUCGAUUUGAUUAACAUGUGCUCUGAUGUCGACGUUACGCUAAAAUACACUCCCCGGCAAGGGAUUCCAAAAGCUUAUGGUUACUCAUCUUUGCGAUCCUCAACAAAGAAUUCAACAUUAGACCAAAAAAAUAGGACAAUGUAAUUGCCUCCUGGUACGUAUCUGAUCCAAUAGUCGUGCUCAGAUCUAUUUGGAUUUGCUACAGUGGAAUAUUUGGGGAAAAAUAUGUCUAACGGCAUAUAAAACGUCAGU